rnacentral:rRNA from 1 species
GGCCGCGGGAAUUCGAUUGAGUUUGAUCCUGGCUCAGAUUGAACGCUGGCGGCAUGCCUUACACAUGCAAGUCGAACGGUAACAGCACUUCGGUGGCUGACGAGUGGCGAACGGGUGAGUAAUACAUCGGAACGUGCCCGAGAGUGGGGGAUAACGCAGCGAAAGCUGUGCUAAUACCGCAUACGAUCUACGGAUGAAAGCAGGGGACCGCAAGGCCUUGCGCUCAUGGAGCGGCCGAUGGCAGAUUAGGUAGUUGGUGGGAUAAAAGCUUACCAAGCCGACGAUCUGUAGCUGGUCUGAGAGGACGACCAGCCACACUGGGACUGAGACACGGCCCAGACUCCUACGGGAGGCAGCAGUGGGGAAUUUUGGACAAUGGGCGAAAGCCUGAUCCAGCCAUGCCGCGUGCAGGAUGAAGGCCUUCGGGUUGUAAACUGCUUUUGUACGGAACGAAAAGGUCUUUUCUAAUAAAGAAGGCUCAUGACGGUACCGUAAGAAUAAGCACCGGCUAACUACGUGCCAGCAGCCGCGGUAAUACGUAGGGUGCAAGCGUUAAUCGGAAUUACUGGGCGUAAAGCGUGCGCAGGCGGUUAUAUAAGACAGAUGUGAAAUCCCCGGGCUCAACCUGGGAACUGCAUUAGCUAGAGUGCGG